rnacentral:lncRNA from 11 species
GUAUAUCUUCCCAUAAUCCCUUUAAAAUGGUCAGUUGUGAGUGUAAAGACAUGCAUCAGAAGAGAUGUCAAAAUGUCAGCCCACCACCCUCCAGCCCCUUCUAUAAGUGGCCUUUCAAGGCUCAUUUUGACAAUAGUUUUUUCAAGCUUUGCUUUACCUGUCUUUCAGUUAGAUGUAUCUUUUCAUAGAUGGGUCAGUAGGCCUGAAGACCACAAGUGGAGCUUUUUGUUUUAGGAUUGGCAAUGACUCCAGCAUUGGGUCUAACAUGGCACAAGAUCCUGGGAAACUCCUCCUAGAUCUUGUGGUCCUAAGCCUUGGAAUGAAAAUACAUAUAUCUAAGCUUCUUGGACACAGGGGGUUGACACAAGAGAGUGCAAGAGUUAAUCCUCCCCGCCAAAUCCCCAGACUUUGUAGACUUCCCAGGUGCAUUACGAGGAUGUCCGACCUGCC